GAUCAUUAUUGAAAUCCUCAGGAUGUUGCUGUGCCCCGUUGGGGGUGAUGUGCACUCCGUCUUCAAACCCCCUGUGAACCAACUGUGGGCUCGAGACUAGUCUCGUGGUCCAUGUUUUUUUAAACACAAACAAAAGUCUAUUGAAUGUCUAAUGAGUAGACCUUCUAGGUUGAAAACUUAACAUACAACUUUCAACAAUGGAUCUCUUGGUUCUCGCAUCGAUGAAGAACGCAGCGAAUUGCGAUAUGUAAUGUGAAUUGCAGAAUUCAGUGAAUCAUCGAAUCUUUGAACGCACCUUGCGCCCUUUGGUAUUCCGAAGGGCAUGCCUGUUUGAGUGUUAUUAAAUUCUCAACUUCAAGUUAACCUUGAAGCUUUGGACUGUGGAGGCUCCUGCCGGUUUAGCUUCUUGCUUGUCGGCUCCUCUUAAAUGCAUUAGCGGAACCCUUUGUAGGACCUGGCUUUGGUUUGAUAAAUCCUAUCUAUGCCGUUGCUGUGGACUUCUUUGUUCAGCUUAUAGCAGUCUUCGGACUGUCUCCUCGGAGGCAAAAACCACUCUUUAAGCUUUAACCUCAAAUCAUGUAGA
rnacentral:rRNA from 1 species